rnacentral:rRNA from 1 species
UUUUAUUGAGAGUUUGAUCCUGGCUCAGGACGAACGCUGGCGGUAUGCUUAACACAUGCAAGUCGAACGCGACGAAGGUGCUUGCACCUUCAGAGAGUGGCGAACGGGUGAGUAACGCGUGGGUAACCUACCCUUUGGAAAGGAAUAGCCUCGGGAAACUGGGAGUAAUGCCUUAUAAGAUGCGA